CGUGUAGGCGGAGAUGCAAGUCAGGUGUGAAAUCCCGGGGCUCAACCCCGGAACUGCACUUGAAACUGUAUCCCUUGAGUAUCGGAGAGGCAAGCGGAAUUCCUAGUGUAGCGGUGAAAUGCGUAGAUAUUAGGAGGAACACCAGUGGCGAAGGCGGCUUGCUGGACGACAACUGACGCUGAGGCGCGAAAGCGUGGGGAGCAAACA
rnacentral:rRNA from 1 species